GACGAACGCUGGCGGCGUGCUUAACACAUGCAAGUCGAACGGAGUGGCGAACGGGUGAGUAACACGUGGGUGAUCUGCCUUGCACUUCGGGAUAAGCUUGGGAAACUGGGUCUAAUACCGGAUAGUGCAAGAUGAGCUCGCGGCCUAUCGGCUUGUUGGUGGGGUAAUGGCCUACCAAGGCGUCGACGGGUAGCCGGCCUGGGAGGGUGUACGGGCACAUGGGGACUGAGAGACGGACCAGAGUCCUACGGGGGGCAGCAGUGGGGAGUAUUGCACAAUGAGCGGAAGCGUGAUGCAGCGGCGCCGCGUGGGUGAUGAAGGCCUUCGGGUUGUAAACUCCUUUCGACAGGGACGCGGUACCUGUAUAAGAAGCACCGGCUAACUACGUGCCAGCCGCCGCGGUAAUUC
rnacentral:rRNA from 1 species